AUUGAACGCUGGCGGCAUGCCUUACACAUGCAAGUCGAACGGCAGCACGGGAGCAAUCCUGGUGGCGAGUGGCGAACGGGUGAGUAAUAUAUCGGAACGUGCCCAGUCGUGGGGAUAACGUAGCGAAAGCUACGCUAAUACCGCAUACGAUCUAUGGAUGAAAGCGGGGGAUCGCAAGACCUCGCGCGAUUGGAGCGGCCGAUAUCAGAUUAGGUAGUUGGUGAGGUAAAGGCUCACCAAGCCGACGAUCUGUAGCUGGUCUGAGAGGACGACCAGCCACACUGGGACUGAGACACGGCCCAGACUCCUACGGAGGCAGCAGUAGGGAAUUUUGGACAAUGGGCGCAAGCCUGAUCCAGCAAUGCCGCGUGCAGGAUGAAGGCCU
rnacentral:rRNA from 1 species